rnacentral:rRNA from 1 species
GACGAACGCUGGCGGCGUGCCUAAUACAUGCAAGUCGAACGCAGUGGGGACGGGUGAGUAACACGUGGGUAACCUCCCAUCAGAGGGGAUACAACUUGGAAACAGGUGCUAAACCGAUACUGAUGGAUGGCCCCGCGGUGCAUUAGCUAGUUGGUGAGGUAACGGCUCACCAAGGCCACGAUGCAUAGCCGACCGGAGAGGGUGAUGGGACACACUGGGACGGAGAAACGGCCCAGACGCCGACGGGAGGCAGCAGUAGGGAAUGUUCGGCAAUGGACGAAAGUCUGACCGAGCAACGACGCGUAAGUGAAGAAGGUUUUCGGAUCGUAAAACUCUGUUGUUAGAGAAGCGGUAUCUAACCAGAAAGCCACUGCUAACUACGUGCCAGCAGCCGCGGUAAUUC